rnacentral:rRNA from 1 species
UACGGGGGGGGUAAGCGUUGUUCGGAAUUACUGGGCGUAAAGGGCUCGUAGGCGGCCAACUAAGUCAUACGUGAAAUCCCUCAGCUUAACUGGGGAACUGCGUGUGAUACUGGAUGGCUUGGAUUUGGGAGAGGGAUGCGGAAUUCCAGGUGUAGCGGUGAAAUGCGUAGAUAUCGGGAGGAACACCUGUGGCGAAGGCGGCUUUCUGGGCCCUACCUGACGCUGAGACGCGAAAGCGUGGGGAGCGAACCGG